rnacentral:rRNA from 1 species
CCCCAGUAGCGGCGAGCGAACGGGGAGCAGCCCAGAGUCUGAAUCAGCUUGUGUGUUAGUGGAACGGUCUGGAAAGUCCGACGGUACAGGGUGAUAGUCCCGUACACCAAAAUGCACAGGCUGUGAACUCGAAGAGUAGGGCGGGACACGUGGUAUCCUGUCUGAAUAUGGGGGGACCAUCCUCCAAGGCUAAAUACUCCUGACUGACCGAUAGUGAACCAGUACCGUGAGGGAAAGGCGAAAAGAACCCCGGCGAGGGGAGUGAAAAAGAACCUGAAACCGUGUACGUACAAGCAGUGGGAGCACCUUCGGGUGUGACUGCGUACCUUUUGUAUAAUGGGUCAGCGACUUAUAUUCUGUAGCAAGGUUAACCGUAUAGGGGAGCCGCAGGGAAACCGAGUCUUAACUGGGCGUUAAGUUGCAGGGUAUAGACCCGAAACCCGGUGAUCUAGCCAUGGGCAGGUUGAAGGUUGGGUAACACUAACUGGAGGACCGAACCGACUAAUGUUGAAAAAUUAGCGGAUGACUUGUGGCUGGGGGUGAAAGGCCAAUCAAACCGGGAGAUAGCUGGUUCUCCCCGAAAGCUAUUUAGGUAGCGCCUCGUGAAUUCAUCUUCGGGGGUAGAGCACUGUUUCGGCUAGGGGGUCAUCCCGACUUACCAACCCGAUGCAAACUACGAAUACCGAAGAAUGUUAUCACGGGAGACACACGGCGGGUGCUAACGUCCGUCGUGAAGAGGGAAACAACCCAGACCGCCAGCUAAGGUCCCAAAGUCAUGGUUAAGUGGGAAACGAUGUGGGAAGGCACAGACAGCCAGGAUGUUGGCUUAGAAGCAGCCAUCAUUUAAAGAAAGCGUAAUAGCUCACUGGUCGAGUCGGCCUGCGCGGAAGAUGUAACGGGGCUAAACCAUGCACCGAAGCUGCGGCAGCGACACUAUGUGUUGUUGGGUAGGGGAGCGUUCUGUAAGCCUGCGAAGGUGACCUGUGAGGGUUGCUGGAGGUAUCAGAAGUGCGAAUGCUGACAUAAGUAACGAUAAAGCGGGUGAAAAGCCCGCUCGCCGGAAGACCAAGGGUUCCUGUCCAACGUUAAUCGGGGCAGGGUGAGUCGACCCCUAAGGCGAGGCCGAAAGGCGUAGUCGAUGGGAAACAGGUUAAUAUUCCUGUACUUGGUGUUACUGCGAAGGGGGGACGGAGAAGGCUAUGUUAGCCGGGCGACGGUUGUCCCGGUUUAAGCAUGUAGGCUGGUUAUCCAGGCAAAUCCGGAUAAUCAAGGCUGAGGUGUGAUGACGAGGCACUACGGUGCUGAAGUAACAAAUGCCCUGCUUCCAGGAAAAGCCUCUAAGCAUCAGGUAACAUCAAAUCGUACCCCAAACCGACACAGGUGGUCAGGUAGAGAAUACCAAGGCGCUUGAGAGAACUCGGGUGAAGGAACUAGGCAAAAUGGUGCCGUAACUUCGGGAGAAGGCACGCUGGUGUGUAGGUGAAGUCCCUGCGGAUGGAGCUGAGACCAGUCGAAGAUACCAGCUGGCUGCAACUGUUUAUUAAAAACACAGCACUGUGCAAACACGAAAGUGGACGUAUACGGUGUGACGCCUGCCCGGUGCCGGAAGGUUAAUUGAUGGGGUUAUCCGUAAGGAGAAGCUCUUGAUCGAAGCCCCGGUAAACGGCGGCCGUAACUAUAACGGUCCUAAGGUAGCGAAAUUCCUUGUCGGGUAAGUUCCGACCUGCACGAAUGGCGUAAUGAUGGCCAGGCUGUCUCCACCCGAGACUCAGUGAAAUUGAACUCGCUGUGAAGAUGCAGUGUACCCGCGGCAAGACGGAAAGACCCCGUGAACCUUUACUAUAGCUUGACACUGAACAUUGAGCCUUGAUGUGUAGGAUAGGUGGGAGGCUUUGAAGCGUGGACGCCAGUCUGCGUGGAGCCAACCUUGAAAUACCACCCUUUAAUGUUUGAUGUUCUAACGUUGGCCCCUUACCGGGGUUGCGGACAGUGUCUGGUGGGUAGUUUGACUGGGGCGGUCUCCUCCCAAAGCGUAACGGAGGAGCACGAAGGUUAGCUAAUCCUGGUCGGACAUCAGGAGGUUAGUGCAAUGGCAUAAGCUAGCUUGACUGCGAGCGUGACGGCGCGAGCAGGUGCGAAAGCAGGUCAUAGUGAUCCGGUGGUUCUGAAUGGAAGGGCCAUCGCUCAACGGAUAAAAGGUACUCCGGGGAUAACAGGCUGAUACCGCCCAAGAGUUCAUAUCGACGGCGGUGUUUGGCACCUCGAUGUCGGCUCAUCACAUCCUGGGGCUGAAGUAGGUCCCAAGGGUAUGGCUGUUCGCCAUUUAAAGUGGUACGCGAGCUGGGUUUAGAACGUCGUGAGACAGUUCGGUCCCUAUCUGCCGUGGGCGCUGGAGAAUUGAGGGGGGCUGCUCCUAGUACGAGAGGACCGGAGUGGACGCAUCACUGGUGUUCGGGUUGUCAUGCCAAUGGCACUGCCCGGUAGCUAAAUGCGGAAGAGAUAAGUGCUGAAAGCAUCUAAGCACGAAACUUGCCCCGAGAUGAGUUCUCCCUGAGACUUUAAGUCUCCUGAAGGAACGUUAAAGACGAUGACGUUGAUAGGCCGGGUGUGUAAGCGCAGCGAUGCGUUGAGCUAACCGGUACUAAUGAACCGUGAGGCUUAACCUU